GUGCUCACUUUGGCAGCACAUAUACUAAAAUUGAAACAAUAGAGAGAAGAUUAGCAUGGCCCUGUGCAUGGAUGACACACAAAUUCAUGAAGCACUCCAUGUUUUA